rnacentral:rRNA from 1 species
UCGAGAAUCUUCCGCAAUGGACGAAAGUCCGACGGAGCGACGCCGCGUGCGGGAUGAAGGCCCUCGGGUUGUAAACCGCUGUCAGUUGGGAGGAAGGUUUCGUGAAGAGCGAAACUUGACCGAUCUUCAGAGGAAGUCCGGGCUAAGUACGUGCCAGCAGCCGCGGUAACACGUACCGGACGAACGUUAUUCGGAAUUACUGGGCUUAAAGAGUACGUAGGCGGCCUUGUAGGUGAGAUGUGAAAUCCCACGGCUCAACCGUGGAACUGCGUUUCAAACCACAAGGCUUGAGGGAGACAGGGGUGAGCGGAACUGAUGGUGGAGCGGUGAAAUGCGUUGAUAUCAUCAGGAACACCGGUGGCGAAGGCGGCUCACUGGGUCUCUUCUGACGCUGAGGUACGAAAGCUAGGGUAGCGAACGGGAUUAGAUACCCCCGUAGUCC